AUUGAACGCUGGCGGAAUGCUUUACACAUGCAAGUCGAACGGCAGCACGGACUUCGGUCUGGUGGCGAGUGGCGAACGGGUGAGUAAUAUAUCGGAACGUAUCCAAUAAUGGGGGAUAACUAGUCGAAAGAUUGGCUAAUACCGCAUACGCCCUACGGGGGAAAGCAGGGGAUCUUCGGACCUUGCGUUAAUGGAGCGGCCGAUAUCUGAUUAGCUAGUUGGUGGGGUAAAGGCCCACCAAGGCGACGAUCAGUAGCUGGUCUGAGAGGACGACCAGCCACACUGGAACUGAGACACGGUCCAGACUCCUACGGGAGGCAGCAGUGGGGAAUUUUGGACAAUGGGCGCAAGCCUGAUCCAGCCAUUCCGCGUGAGUGAAGAAGGCCUUCGGGUUGUAAAGCUCUUUCGCAAGGGAAGAAAACUUAGCCACUAACAUUGGCUGAGGUUGACGGUACCUUGAUAAGAAGCACCGGCUAACUACGUGCCAGCCGCCGCAGUAAUAC
rnacentral:rRNA from 1 species